UCUCGAUAGCGUAAGAGUUAACUUCAAUUUGUAUGGAAUUGGGACGUUUGCCUACGUUUGCCGCUAGAGGCGCUGUUCCAAUUUGCAUACAUAUUUGAGUUAACUUUUACGUUAUCGA
rnacentral:pre_miRNA from 9 species